UGGGGAAUAUUGCACAAUGGGCGAAAGCCUGAUGCAGCGACGCCGCGUGCGGGAUGACGGCCUUCGGGUUGUAAACCGCUUUCGGCAGGGAAGAAGCCGCAAGGUGACGGUACCUGCAGAAGAAGCGCCGGCUAACUACGUGCCAGCAGCCGCGGUAAUACGUAGGGCGCAAGCGUUGUCCGGAAUUAUUGGGCGUAAAGAGCUCGUAGGCGGUUCGUCGCGUCUGCUGUGAAAUCCUCAGGCUCAACCUGGGGCGUGCAGUGGGUACGGGCGGACUAGAGUGCGGUAGGGGUGACUGGAAUUCCUGGUGUAGCGGUGGAAUGCGCAGAUAUCAGGAGGAACACCGAUGGCGAAGGCAGGUCACUGGGCCGCAACUGACGCUGAGGAGCGAAAGCAUGGGGAGCGAACAGGAUUAGAUACCCUGGUAGUCCAUGCCGUAAACGUUGGGCACUAGGUGUGGGGUCCAUUCCACGGAUUCCGUGCCGCAGCAAACGCAUUAAGUGCCCCGCCUGGGGAGUACGGCCGCAAGGCUAAAAACUUAAAAUGAAUUGACGGGGUCAUAGCUGUUUCCU
rnacentral:rRNA from 1 species